rnacentral:rRNA from 1 species
GAUGAACGCUGGCGGCGUGCCUAAUACAUGCAAGUCGAGCGAACGGACGAGAAGCUUGCUUCUCUGAUGUUAGCGGCGGACGGGUGAGUAACACGUGGAUAACCUACCUAUAAGACUGGGAUAACUUCGGGAAACCGGAGCUAAUACCGGAUGAUAUUUUGAACCGCAUGGUUCAAAAGUGAAAGACGGUCUCGCUGUCACUCAUAGAUGGAUCCGCGCUGCAUUAGCUAGUUGGUAAGGUAACGGCUUACCAAGGCAACGAUGCAUAGCCGACCUGAGAGGGUGAUCGGCCACACUGGAACUGAGACACGGUCCAGACUCCUACGGGAGGCAGCAGUAGGGAAUCUUCCGCAAUGGGCGAAAGCCUGACGGACCAACGCCGCGUGAGUGAUGAAGGUCUUCGGAUCGUAAAACUCUGUUAUUAGGGAAGAACAUAUGUGUAAGUAACUGUGCACAUCUUGACGGUACCUAAUCAGAAAGCCACGGCUAACUACGU